rnacentral:rRNA from 1 species
UGCAGUCGAACGGAAGCAAAGAUUUCGGUUUUUGCUUUAGUGGCGAACGGGUGAGUAACGCGUGAGGAACCUGCCUUUCAGUGGGGGACAACAGUUGGAAACGACUGCUAAUACCGCAUAAUGCUUGUGAGUGGCAUCACUUAAAAGUCAAAGAUUUAUUGCUGAAAGAUGGCCUCGCGUCUGAUUAGCUAGUUGGCGGGGUAACGGCCCACCAAGGCGACGAUCAGUAGCCGGUCUGAGAGGAUGAACGGCCACAUUGGGACUGAGAUACGGCCCAGACUCCUACGGGAGGCAGCAGUGGGGAAUAUUGGGCAAUGGGGGAAACCCUGACCCAGCAACGCCGCGUGAAGGAAGAAGGCCUUCGGGUUGUAAACUCCUUUUACCAGGGGCGAAA